rnacentral:rRNA from 1 species
AACGCUAGCUACAGGCUUAACACAUGCAAGUCGCGGGGUAACGAGAGGGAAGCUUGCUUUCCUUGUCGACGACCGGCGCACGGGUGAGUAACGCGUAUCCAACCUGCCCAUUACCACGGGAUACCCCGUCGAAAGGCGGCCUAAUACCGUAUGCAGUCGUCAGAUGACAUCAGAGGACGACGAAAGGAUUGGCGGUAAUGGAUGGGGAUGCGUCUGAUUAGGUAGUUGGAGGGGUAACGGCCCACCAAGCCAUCGAUCAGUAGGGGUUCUGAGAGGAAGGUCCCCCACAUUGGAACUGAGACACGGUCCAAACUCCUACGGGAGGCAGCAGUGAGGAAUAUUGGUCAAUGGGCGCGAGCCUGAACCAGCCAAGUAGCGUGAGGGAUGACGGCCCUAUGGGUUGUAAACCUCUUUUAUGCGGGAAUAAAAUGUUUGACGUGUCAUACAUUGUAGGUACCGCAAGAAUAAGGACCGGCUAAUUCCGCGCCAGCAGCCGCGGUAAUACGGAAGGUCCAGGCGUUAUCCGGAUUUAUUGGGUUUAAAGGGAGCGUAGGCCGUCUGUUAAGCGUGUUGUGAAAUGUAGAUGCUCAACAUCUGAAUUGCAGCGCGAACUGGCAGACUUGAGUGUGCGCAACGUAGGCGGAAUUCGUGGUGUAGCGGUGAAAUGCUUAGAUAUCACGAAGAACUCCGAUUG